UUCGGGACGCUGGCGAGUGGCGAACGGGUGCGUAACGCGUGGAAACCUGCCCCGAGGUGUGGGACAACAGUUGGAAACGACUGCUAAUACCGCAUAAGCCUUACGAGGGAAAGGCGCAAGUCGCCUUGGGAGGGGUCCGCGUCGGAUUAGCUAGUUGGUGGGGUAAAGGCCUACCAAGGCGAUGAUCCGUAGCUGGUCUGAGAGGAUGAUCAGCCACACUGGGACUGAGACACGGCCCAGACUCCUACGGGAGGCAGCAGUGGGGAAUAUUGCGCAAUGGGAGAAAUCCUGACGCAGCGAUACCGCGUGGGUGAAGAAGGUCUUCGGAUUGUAAAGCCCUUUCAGCAGGAAAGAUGAUGACGGUACCUGCAGAAGAAGCCCCGGCUAACUCCGUGCCAGCAGCCGCGGUAAUACGGAGGGGGCGGGCGUUGUUCGGAAUGACUGGGCGUAAAGGGCGCGUAGGCUGCUCUGCAAG
rnacentral:rRNA from 1 species